AUUGACAGCAUGGUCAUUACUUAGAGAGAUAUUCAAUUUACAUAACUCAAGGAAUAUUAUAGAUAUCCCCGAUAAACCCUGUUCCAAACUGCCUACGAUACUUGUUAUUUCAAUUUAGCAGACAU